UACGUAGGGGGCAAGCGUUGUCCGGAUUUAUUGGGCGUAAAGCGCGUGUAGGCGGCCAGGUAGGUCGGUUGUGAAAAUUGGAGGCUCAACCUCCAGACGUCGAUCGAAACCAUCUGGCUAGAGUCCGGAAGAGGAGAAUGGAAUUCCUGGUGUAGCGGUGAAAUGCGCAGAUAUCAGGAAGAACACCGAUGGCGAAAGGGCAGAUCUCC
rnacentral:rRNA from 1 species